rnacentral:tRNA from 1 species
CCAUCGAUAGCGCAGUUGGUAGAGCGGAGGACUGUAGAUCCUUAGGUCGCUGGUUCGAAUCCAGCUCGAAGGA